AUUAGGAAUCUUGCGCAAUGGGGGCAACCCUGACGCAGCGACGCCGCGUGGAGGAGGAAGUCUUUCGGGAUGUAAACUCCUUUUAGGUAGGAAGAAACAAAUGACGGUACUACCUGAAUAAGCCCCGGCUAACUACGUGCCAGCAGCCGCGGUAAUACGUAGGGGGCGAGCGUUGUCCGAAGUUACUGGGCGUAAAGCGCGCGUAGGCGGGGGAGCAAGUCCGCUGUGAAAGCCCGAGGCUUAACCUCGGAGGGUCGGUGGAUACUGCUUCUCUUGAAGAGGCUAGGGGGAGAUGGAAUUACCGGUGUAGCGGUGAAAUGCGUAGAGAUCGGUAGGAACACCAGUGGCGAAGGCGGUCUCCUGGAGCCCUCUUGACGCUGAGGCGCGAAAGCUGGGGGAGCGAACGG
rnacentral:rRNA from 1 species